UACGUAGGCAGCGAGCGUUGUUCGGAGUUACUGGGCGUAAAGGGUGUGUAGGCGGUCCUCUAAGUUUGGUGUGAAAUCUCCCGGCUCAACCGGGAGGGUGCGCCGAAAACUGGGGGACUAGAGUGCGGGAUGGGAAAGUGGAAUUCCUGGUGUAGCGGUGAAAUGCGUAGAUAUCAGGAGGAACACCGGUGGUGUAGACGGCUUUCUGGACCGUAACUGACGCUGAGACACGAAAGCGUGGGUAGCAAACAGG
rnacentral:rRNA from 1 species